rnacentral:rRNA from 1 species
GUGAGUAACACGUGGGCAAUCUGCCCUGCACUCUGGGACAAGCCCUGGAAACGGGGUCUAAUACCGGAUAUGACCGUCUGCCGCAUGGUGGAUGGUGUAAAGCUCCGGCGGUGCAGGAUGAGCCCGCGGCCUAUCAGCUUGUUGGUGAGGUAGUGGCUCACCAAGGCGACGACGGGUAGCCGGCCUGAGAGGGCGACCGGCCACACUGGGACUGAGACACGGCCCAGACUCCUACGGGAGGCAGCAGUGGGGAAUAUUGCACAAUGGGCGAAAGCCUGAUGCAGCGACGCCGCGUGAGGGAUGACGGCCUUCGGGUUGUAAACCUCUUUCAGCAGGGAAGAAGCGAAAGUGACGGUACCUGCAGAAGAAGCGCCGGCUAACUACGUGCCAGCAGCCGCGGUAAUACGUAGGGCGCAAGCGUUGUCCGGAAUUAUUGGGCGUAAAGAGCUCGUAGGCGGCUUGUCACGUCGGUUGUGAAAGCCCGGGGCUUAACCCCGGGUCUGCAGUCGA